AUGUGCGUGUCCCUCAAGUCUCAGGAUCAGUACAUGCCAAGCCUGGGACGCCGGCCAGGACCAGAGUCGGGGAAGUGGGGCCCGAUUCACACACCCCGGCCUAAAACUCUCUCGGACCCGAAACCGGGCGAACCCGCCCAGUCAUCUGAAGCUCCACAAACGCCCGAGGGGGUCUCGCCCCCGCAGUGCCGGCCGCACACCCAGGCCCAGCUCCAAGGGACGCCGCGGCCCAGACCCGGGGAGCGCACAUCAUCCACGGCCGACCCUGCCCGCUUGGGCCGCGGAUCGGGGGGCGACGGCCCCACCACGCUCAGUCCCGCGCCCCGGGAGGACCCGGCCCGACGGGCGACGGCCGCUCACCUGAGGACCCGACUGCGGCCGGGGCGGGGAGCCCGAAGGGAAAAUUUUAGUGUGGACCUCAGAGAACAGAAAGCCCAAAUGCUCUCAUUUGUCAUCACUGAUUUUAAAUGUAAAACUUUUUACUUGGAAGAGGAAGACAAGGCAAGUGAGGUUGCCAUUGAGGAAGAAAAAGAAGAAGAGGAUGAAAAAAAGAAGAUUCAUCAGACCACGACGAAAAUGAAGAUGAGUUUAGUGGUGAAGAAAACCUACUAAAUAGCACAAAGGCUAAACUUCUAAAGUUGACAAGCAGCAGCAUAGACCCUGGUCUGAGUAUGAAGCAGUUGGGUGGUUUGUAUGUUCAUUUCAAUGCAGAUAAACUACAGUCUAACAAGAAAACCCUAACACAGAUCAAGGAGAAAAAGAAAAAUGAGCUUCUGCAGAAAGCUGUCAUUACAUCUGAUUUUGAAAAACACUACUGUGUUCCACCAUAUAGUGAAUCAAAGUAUCAACUUCAGAAAAAACGUAGAAAAGAAGGACAAAAAACAGCAGGGGAUGGCUGGUUUGGUAUGAAAGCUCCAGAAAUGGCAAAUGAACUGAAAAAUGAUCUCAAAGCACUGAAGAUGAGAGCCAGCAUGGACCCGAAAAGAUUUUACAAGAAAAAUGAUAGAGAUGGCUUCCCCAAGUACUUCCAAAUUGGAACCCUUGUUGACAAUCCAGCUGAUUUCUACCAUUCACGAAAUUCCCAAGAAGCAAAGGAAAAGAACUAUUACGGAAGAACUGCUGGAUGAUUCUGAGUUCAGAAGAUACAACCGAAGGAAGUACUCAGAGAUCAUGGCUGAAAAAGCAUCAAAUGCAGCAGGAAAAAAGUUCCGAAAGAAGAAGAAAUUUCGCAAUUAAGAUUUACCAAGCAAACUGCAACAUUUUACAUCACCCCUUUAUUUACUUAUUAAAGACGUUU